GGCAUGCACUAGUGGGCCAUAAUUAUAAACUGGGUCUGAGGGUCAUGAGCGGACUGGUUCUGGAGUACGGCCAUGGUGGUGGGAUAGCUAAUUGGCGGUAACAAGGAGGCCGUUACUGCUAAAACAGUUCGAAACAGUGAUGGUGAUAAACUUAAUAAACACAAAGUAAUAAACUAAUAAAACAGUGAUGCGGAGGAAUGAGAAGAAGACAAAGACAUCUGAGAAACCUG